CGUCCACAGACGUCGAACGGACAGAACCUCCCCUGUCCGCCUAAGACUCCACGCAAAUAUCAACAUGUAUAGCAAUUUAUACAAAAAGAAUUCGAGUAUACAUGGCUUGCACGAAGGCAAGAAACCACAAGCAGGUGAAGAUACUACUAUUAUCCAUACAUCCACACAUGUAAUUUGAUUGCUUUUAACCAAACAUAAGCUAUCCACAUAUUACAUUCUUUUCUUUCAAUAUACAUCAUAUGAUUCAUCACGAAACAUAUACCACAUCUGAAUUUACAUCAUUUAUACAUCAUCAUAUACAAAAGAUGAUAAUAAACAG
rnacentral:lncRNA from 1 species